GUGUAGCUCAGCUGGAUAGAGCGUCUGACUACGGAUCAGAAGGCCGGGGGUUCGAAUCCUCUCA
rnacentral:tRNA from 1 species